CACGAUAUUUCCAGGUAUUUUACGAUUCAAAGUUGCAAGUAUAUUUUUUGGUUGCACCAAAUUCAAUGUCAUAUCUGAAACAUAUUCCUUUUCUUCCGGCAUGAGGCGACAUACAAUUGGAUGACCGACUAACUUUUCACACAAGUCAUGGUUAUGUAAACCACAUAUCACAUUAAAUCUUCAUUUUUAUUUUCCAAAAGAUAACCACGCAACUUAAAGGGACACUUACAUUUUCUUGAACCGGUGUUAUCUCGUUUGAAAUUCUGUAGAGGAUUUGUAUACUUCUUAACUCUUUUGCACAUCAUUGUCACAAAUGCACCUCUUCUAUCCGAAUCAUUAUCGGAACAUCUGAUUACAAUACCUAACCCAAGUUUAGAUGCCUUCAUACGAAUCAUUAAUGCAUGUGUUAACGAAAUUCAAACUCUUGUUUAUUUUUAAAAUGGUUGCUAACAUCUACCUCAUUUAUAACAAACAUUUGGCAUCUGGAGACACAAUAAGUUUGAAGAAAAUGUCGGGGUGCACCAUAUCUAAUGAAAACAAUAAUAUAAGAUACUCAAAAACAACUAAAACUAAAAAUAGACAGCUGGAAAAUGAAAAUAGAUAGACUCCAAAAAUGCAUUUAUUGAGGAAUUCAUACAGACUCUGAAAAUACAUUUCUAGAUUCGACGUAAGUUUUUUCUGCUAAAAAUCAAGAUUAAUAUGAGCAAUGAGGACUGAAAUAAAUUAUCUUUACCUUGAAUUCUAGCUUCUUUUGCUCCUUUUGAUGUGAUGAAACACAAGAAUGAAGUUUUGGAGUGAAAAUCUUGAUUGAGAAUGGAAGGUUUUUUAGAAAAAAUGGGUAUCUGGAAUGAUCAUGCAUGUGGCUGUUUUAUUAAACUGGCAUUUGAUAUUUCCUAAAAUACAUAUCCAGAAAUGCCUAACAUGCAAAGGUGACGGGUUUUCAAAUUACCACUUCAAAACUCUGGACAUGCUUAUCUGAAAACUUUAUUGAGAUGCUCAAUAAUUAAUAAAUUAAAUUGAUAUGUCCAAAGAUGCAUCUUCGGAACAAAAUUUUGUUUUAAAAUGGGAUGACACUCAUUUGGUGCGUCAUUUAGUGAUGCAAAGGGUGAGUCCGGAGAUACAUCUCUGAAAUUUAAGGGGUAUUUUCGAAUUUUCAUAGGGUUUUUUUCCACCUCAUAGGGUGUGUAAUACCCUAAAAUCCCAACUCUUAAUUUAAAACAAUAAACAAUCAUUUAGGUUGCUACUCAACAAAACAUGCAUACUUUCUCAUUUAAAUCAUCAACUCGUAGCGGAAAUUUUAAAUAAAUAACAUAAACAUCAAUGGUCUCAU
rnacentral:lncRNA from 1 species